AUUGCCCUAGUAACGGCGAGUGAAGCGGCAACAGCUCAAAUUUGAAAUCUGGCUCUUUUAGGGUCCGAGUUGUAAUUUGCAGAGGGCGCUUUGGCUUUGGCAGCGGUCCAAGUUCCUUGGAACAGGACGUCACAGAGGGUGAGAAUCCCGUACGUGGUCGCUAGCUAUCGCCGUGUAAAGCCCCUUCGACGAGUCGAGUUGUUUGGGAAUGCAGCUCUAAAUGGGAGGUAAAUUUCUUCUAAAGCUAAAUAUUGGCCAGAGACCGAUAGCGCACAAGUAGAGUGAUCGAAAGAUGAAAAGCACUUUGGAAAGAGAGUCAAACAGCACGUGAAAUUGUUGAAAGGGAAGCGCUUGCAGCCAGACUUGCUUGCAGUUGCUCAUCCGGGCUUUUGCCCGGUGCACUCUUCUGUAGGCAGGCCAGCAUCAGUUUGGGCGGUGGGAUAAAGGUCUCUGUCACGUACCUCUCUUCGGGGAGGCCUUAUAGGGGAGACGACAUACCACCAGCCUAGACUGAGGUCCGCGCAUCUGCUAGGAUGCUGGCGUAAUGGCUGUAAGCGGCCCGUCUUGAAACACGGACCAAGGAGUCUAACAUCUAUGCGAGUGUUUGGGUGUCAAGCCCGAGCGCGUAAUGAAAGUGAACGGAGGUGGGAACCCGCAAGGGUGCACCAUCGACCGAUCCUGAAGUUUUCGGAAGGAUUUGAGUAAGAGCAUGGCUGUUGGGACCCGAAAGAUGGUGAACUAUGCUUGAAUAGGGUGAAGCCAGAGGAAACUCUGGUGGAGGCUCGCAGCGGUUCUGACGUGCAAAUCGAUCGUCAAAUUUGGGCAUAGGGGCGAAAGACUAAUCGAACU
rnacentral:rRNA from 1 species